UACGUAGGGGGCAAGCGUUGUCCGGAAUCAUUGGGCGUAAAGCGCGUGUAGGCGGCCCGGUAAGUCCGCUGUGAAAGUCGGGGGCUCAACCCUCGAAUGCCGGUGGAUACUGUCGGGCUAGAGUCCGGAAGAGGCGAGUGGAAUUCCUGGUGUAGCGGUGAAAUGCGCAGAUAUCAGGAGGAACACCGAUGGCGAAGGCAGCUCGCUGGGACGGUACUGACGCUGAGACGCGAAAGCGUGGGGAGCAAACAGG
rnacentral:rRNA from 1 species